CACCGAAUGCCUAAGGUUUCCUGAGGAAGGCUCGUCCGCUCAGGGUUAGUCGGGACCUAAGCCGAGGCUGAAAAGCGUAGGCGAUGGACAACAGGUUGAUAUUCCUGUACCACCUAUACAUCGUUUGAGCGAUGGGGGGACGCAGAAGGAUAGGGUAAGCGCGCUGUUGGAUAUGCGCGUCCAAGCAGUUAGGCCGGAAACGAGGAAAAUCCCGUUUCCAUCAAGGCGGAGCUGUGAUGGCGAGGGAAAUAUAGUACCGAAGUUCCUGAUUCCACGCUGCCAAGAAAAGCCUCUAGUGAGAUGUAGGGUGCCCGUACCGCAAACCGACACAGGUAGGCGAGGAGAGAAUCCUAAGGUGUGCGAGAGAACUCUCGUUAAGGAACUCGGCAAAAUGACCCCGUAACUUCGGGAGAAGGGGUGCUUUUUAGGGUGAAUAGCCCGGAAAAGCCGCAGUGAAUAGGCCCAGGCGACUGUUUAGCAAAAACACAGGUCUCUGCGAAGCCGCAAGGCGAAGUAUAGGGGCUGACGCCUGCCCGGUGCUGGAAGGUUAAGAGGAGAGGUUAGCCGCAAGGCGAAGCUUUGAAUUGAAGCCCCAGUAAACGGCGGCCGUAACUAUAACGGUCCUAAGGUAGCGAAAUUCCUUGUCGGGUAAGUUCCGACCCGCACGAAAGGCGUAACGAUCUGGGCACUGUCUCAACGAGAGACUCGGUGAAAUUAUAGUACCUGUGAAGAUGCAGGUUACCCGCGACAGGACGGAAAGACCCCGUGGAGCUUUACUGCAGCCUGAUAUUGAAUUUUGGUACAGCUUGUACAGGAUAGGUAGGAGCCUGUGAAGCCGGAGCGCUAGCUUCGGUCGAGGCGUCGGUGGGAUACUACCCUGGCUGUAUUGAAAUUCUAACCCGCGCCCCUUAUCGGGGCGGGAGACAGUGUCAGGCGGGCAGUUUGACUGGGGCGGUCGCCUCCUAAAAUGUAACGGAGGCGCCCAAAGGUUCCCUCAGAAUGGUUGGAAAUCAUUCGUAGAGUGUAAAGGCACAAGGGAGCUUGACUGCGAGACCUACAAGUCGAGCAGGGACGAAAGUCGGGCUUAGUGAUCCGGUGGUUCCGCAUGGAAGGGCCAUCGCUCAACGGAUAAAAGCUACCCCGGGGAUAACAGGCUUAUCUCCCCCAAGAGUCCACAUCGACGGGGAGGUUUGGCACCUCGAUGUCGGCUCAUCGCAUCCUGGGGCUGUAGUCGGUCCCAAGGGUUGGGCUGUUCGCCCAUUAAAGCGGUACGCGAGCUGGGUUCAGAACGUCGUGAGACAGUUCGGUCCCUAUCCGUCGUGGGCGCAGGAAAUUUGAGAGGAGCUGUCCUUAGUACGAGAGGACCGGGAUGGACGCACCGCUGGUGUACCAGUUGUUCUGCCAAGAGCAUCGCUGGGUAGCUACGUGCGGACGGGAUAAAUGCUGAAAGCAUCUAAGCAUGAAGCCCCCCUCAAGAUGAGAUUUCCCAUAGCGUAAGCUAGUAAGAUCCCUGAAAGAUGAUCAGGUUGAUAGGUCAGAGGUGGAAGCGUGGCGACAUGUGGAGCUGACUGAUACUAAUCGAUC
rfam:Bacillus sp. FJAT-27997 Scaffold1, whole genome shotgun sequence.